rnacentral:rRNA from 1 species
AGUGAACGCUGGCGGUAGGCCUAACACAUGCAAGUCGAACGGCAGCACAGUAAGAGCUUGCUCUUACGGGUGGCGAGUGGCGGACGGGUGAGGAAUACAUCGCAAUCUACUAUUUCGUGGGGGAUAACGUAGGGAAACUUACGCUAAUACCGCAUACGACCUACGGGUGAAUGCAUGGGAGAUUCCGACCUUGCGCGAUUCAAUGAGCCGAUGUCGGAUUAGCUAGUUGGCGGGGUAAAGGCCCACCAAGGCGACGAUCCGUAGCUGGUCUGAGAGGAUGAUCAGCCACACUGGAACUGAGACACGGUCCAGACUCCUACGGGAGGCAGCAGUGGGGAAUAUUGGACAAUGGGCGCAAGCCUGAUCCAGCCAUGCCGCGUGGGUGAAGAAGGCCUUCGGGUUGUAAAGCCCUUUUGUUGGGAAAGAAAAGCAGCAGGUUAAUACCCCGCUGUUCUGACGGUACCCAAAGAAUAAGCACCGGCUAACUUCGUG